AUCGAAAACUGUUUCUCACCCUAAAUCGAAAACGUUCUUCACCCCAAAAUCAAAAAUGUUCUUCACGCUGAAAUCGAGAAUCGUUCUUCACUCCGAAAUCGAGAAUCGUUCUUCACAUUGAAAUCGAGAAUCGUUCUUCACCCUCAAAUUGAAAAUGUUCAAUCGUUCACACCAAUCGUUGACAAAAAUGGUUCUAUCACUGUGAGAUUCCUUUUUCAUCUUUCAUUCACUGUAUAGAGUACGUUGGGGAUUUAGAAUCAAAAACUGAUCUGAGUUUCAUAUCUUCAAGUUCAGGAUGGAGCCACUCUACCAUCAACUGCAAGGACUUUAACUUUUGGCGGUGAGGAUAUAUCAAGGGGCCUUCUUUGGGCGCAAAGGCAUCACCAGACUUAUCCACAAAUUAGAACAGAUAUGUUGACAAAGCCUAUAGAUCUGUUAAUGUUAAAUCAACUGAAAGAGUCAUAUUGCGAAAUCAGAGAGGGGCAACUUGAUGCUAUUGCAGUAGUUCAUUCUUACGAGGAUAAAGCGGCACCUGGAUCUCACAGGACAAGGCUUACUUCUCUCAAUGUUCCUCCCAUGGGGUUGGUCUAUCCAAUGCUUUUUGUUCCUGACGUGUAUCCUCCUCCACCACGGACUUGGUUUAGUGACUACGAGGAUAUGCUAGAAGAUACAUGGCAUAUUGACUUUUCCCGAAGAUUUGACUUGGUUAUAACUGUGAAUGGAAAGAAGGAGAAAAUUGCUUCAGGUUUGCUCAAUCCAUUUCUUUCUCACUUGAAAGCGGCUCAAGAUCAAAUGGACAAGGGUGGUUAUUCAAUUGUUCUUGAGCCGGAUGAUGGAAGUGAUUCCACAUGGUUUACCAAAGGAACUCUUGAAAGGUUUGUACGCUUUGUAAACACUCCUGAGAUAUUGGAACGUGUGUAUACUACAGAAGCUGAAAUCUUACAAAUCGAAGAGGCAAUUGCAAGUCAAGGAAAUAACUCGAUAGGGAUUAGCACUGUGGAAGAAAACCAAGUAAAACAUGCAGAAAACACAAGGCAGGAAGACUCAACAUGAUACGAACGAGGAGAAAGCGAUUGUACUUGAGUUGAUUUGAUAACAGAUGGAUUGUGUCUGGGAAGGAAGAAUAUAAUGGAAAAAUUUAGAUGCAGAUACAUGGAAGUGAACAUAGCAGGACUUUCAAAGUUAUGGAUACAUCAACAUACAAAUAUAAGAAAAGGAUUUUUAUUUUAUUUUAUUUUAUGUGAAAAUUCAAAUAUAGAAAAUAAUAAUAUGGAGUUGGAUAUAUACUAAGAUGUUAAGGAUAUGAUUUAUUU